rnacentral:rRNA from 1 species
GCUUACGGCCAUACCACCCUGAGAACGCCCGAUCUCGUCCGCUCUCGGAAGCUAAGCAGGGUCGUGCCUGGUUAGUACUUGGAUGGGAGACCGCCUGGGAAUACCAGGUGCUGUAAGCU